GGAAGGAGGGGGGCAGGGUGGGGGGGAAUGCGUAGGUGGCGAGGGGGUGCCGGAAUUAUUGGGGGGAAGGGGGGUGGAGGGGGUGUGUGAGGUAGGAUGGGAAAGCACGGGGGUCAACCGGGGGGGGGAAUUGGAAACGGGGGAACUAGAGUGGAGAAGAGGAGAGUGGAAUUCCAGGUGUAGCGGUGAAAUGCGUAGAGAUGAGGAAGAACACCAGUGGCGAAGGCGACUCUCUGGGAUGUAACUGACGCUGAGGCGCGAAAGCGUGGGGAGCGAACAGGAUUAGAUACCCGGGUAGUC
rnacentral:rRNA from 1 species